rnacentral:rRNA from 1 species
GACGAACGCUGGCGGCGUGCUUAACACAUGCAAGUCGAACGAGAAAGGCUCUUCGGAGCUGAGUACAGUGGCGAACGGGUGAGUAACACGUGGGCAACCUGCCCUAGGGAGCGGGACAACCCGAGGAAACUCGGGCUAAUACCGCAUGAUUCGUACGGUCUCAAGUCCGUACGGGAAAUGGUAGCUUCGGCCUCCGCCCU